CCCCGCCCCAAAGCCCAGGCCUGGCCUGGGACUGGAUGGCUUCCUGGCUCUGCCACCUGGCCUGUGACCUGACAAGUCGCUUUGCCUUUCCCGGCCUUGGUUUAUGCGGCCGCACAACAGGGUUGAGAUCUCGGGUUUGUCAGCGGUUCCCUGGGAGAACAGGUGAUGUGUGGACCUCAGGACUCUACCGAAGUUCUCUGGCCAGGAGCAGAAGGGGAGCUGAGGGGCUGCCCUCAUCCCUGUGCUCUUCUGGGGGCUCCCGGAGGGAGCUGUAGGGGCAGGACGGUAGGUAGCCCCAGCAGACGGGAGUGGAGUGAACAUAGAUGGGGUAGAGAGAGCUGCACUGUGACCCCACUGACCUUCUACGGGGCGACAGCCAGAUGUGCACAGCAGCCUCUCCGGGAUGAGGAUGUUUACUGCAGCGCGACCUCUCAGGUUCUAGAACCUUCCACAGUGUCACCAUGUCUCCAGUGUCUCCCCUCCUUUCCAAAUACGGCACUCUUGCCCUGGAGUUUUCAGCCAGAAGCAAAUUACUUCCUAUGGAAAAGACAGAUCCUAGAAUGUGAGUCUGGGGCUUUUGUUCAUUCCCUUUGGCCGGGAUUACCUAUUUUUACAAUAAUCAUGCGUUAUUUUUAUAUUCAUCACAAUAGGAAACUUCCCAGUUUGGGAAGAGAGAUGCCAGGGAGUGGUGUUUCCCUGCAGGAAGCAGAGGCAGGUCAGUGCAUGGACAGGGCCGGGCCAGGCCGCACAGACUCUUGGCCAAUGUGGCCCUGUGUACAGCUCCCUCAGUCUCCCCACCGGCCACGCCCAGCCGGCUGCCCUGUCCUCAGCCCCUCAGCGCCACUUCCUAUUAAUACAAGCCGCGUGGGCCCCUCGCUGUGGUGUCUCCAGGCAGAAAAGGAAGCCACAGCCGCCUAG
rnacentral:lncRNA from 1 species